GAUGAACGCUGGCGGCGUGCCUAAUACAUGCAAGUCGAGCGAACAGACGAGGAGCUUGCUCCUCUGACGUUAGCGGCGGACGGGUGAGUAACACGUGGAUAACCUACCUAUAAGACUGGGAUAACUUCGGGAAACCGGAGCUAAUACCGGAUAAUAUAUUGAACCGCAUGGUUCAAUAGUGAAAGACGGUUUUGCUGUCACUUAUAGAUGGAUCCGCGCCGCAUUAGCUAGUUGGUAAGGUAACGGCUUACCAAGGCAACGAUGCGUAGCCGACCUGAGAGGGUGGUCGCCCACCCUGGAACUGAGACACGUUCCAGACUCCUACGGGAGGACGCAGUAGGGAAUCUUACGCAAUGGGCGAAAGCUUGACGGAGCAACGCCGCGUGAGUGAUGAAGGUCUUCGGAUCGUAAAACUCUGUUAUUAGUGAAGAACAAAUGUGUAAGUAACUUUGCACGUCUUGACGGUACCUAAUCAGAAAGCCACGGCUAACUACGUG
rnacentral:rRNA from 1 species